rnacentral:misc_RNA from 1 species
GAUGAAGAACGUAGUGAAAUGCGAUAAGUAAUGUGAAUUGCAGAAUUCAGUGAAUCAUCGAAUCUUUGAACGCACAUUGCGCCCCUUGGUAUUCCGGGGGGCAUGCCUGUCCGAGCGUCAUUACAACCCUCAAGCUCAGCUUGGUGUUGGGCCCCGCCGCCCCGGCGGGCCCUAAAGUCAGUGGCGGUGCCGUCCGGCUCCGAGCGUAGUAAUUCUUCUCGCUCUGGAGGUCCGGUCGUGUGCUCGCCAGCAACCCCCAAUUUUUUUCAGGUUGACCUCGGAUCAGGUAGGGAUACCCGCUGAACUUAAGCAUAUCAAUAAGCGGAGGA